UCUCAUUUCUCUUUUCUAUCUCUCUCUACAUCUUUGUUAUCUCUCUCUUCUCUUUCUUCAUCUCUCUUUCUACAACAAACCCUAAUUCUCUUAAUCACAAAAUUUGCCUCAUUUUUCUCUCCUCAUCCAUCCUAUCAUUAUGCUUCUUCUUCAAACUGUUUUCGACAAUUUUGAUGUGGUGGUUUCUACUUUCGGACAAAGCGGAUUUCGACGGUUUAAUGGUGUUGGCUCAAGCAAAAAAAGGGGGAGAUUUGCGGCAGUUUGGUAAGAAAAGCUUCACUUUUUAUAUUUUAGAUCUGAACAUUGUUUGUCUGUGGCUUUGGCGGAGUUGGAAAAGGGUAUACAAAACCAAAGAUGUGAAGGUUGGACAAUGAUGAACACGAUGAUGGUGAUGUUGAUCGAUGUUGUUGGGUUCGUGAUGAACGGUGUUGAACGAAUUUGGAUGAAUGAGUUGAGUUGGUUGAAGAUCUAUGAAGAUGAUGACGAAAGCUGCAAAUCUGAAUCUCGGGUGAGGUGAUGAUUUGAGUAGAGUCACUUCUGGCCACAUUCUUUUUGUGGUUUGUCUGGCCCUGUACUUUGAUAAUAUAAUCGCAAAUGCUAUGGGUGUGAGGAAAUCUGUGUUAUACUUUCUAAAUCCUCAUUAUUGGACGGGAUAGGCAGCUCGAUGCUUCUCUCGGACUCUGAUUUAAUAGGUUUCUGGGAUAGGCUCUGUGCUGCCAUUUC